UUAAACAUUCUUACUAAAAAAAGAAAAGAUUGCAGAAAACUAUCUCUCUCUUCUCUCGCUCGCUCACCUCCAUCUUCUCUGUGUUCACCACUUUUCUUUCAUCCCUCUCUUCGUCUUCAAAUCCCAGCAGCAUACUAAGUGCUAGGAGCGGCGCAUCCAAGGCUCGAGGAGGACAACCGAAGCAAGCUUGAAGAGGUUUGAAUUCAAUCACUUAAGGUUAAGGAGUUGACGGCAAGACGGCAGACAUGGAGCUCCACAUUCUCCCGUUCUAUUAUAUGAUGAAGUAUUAUAUGUUGCUGUUUUUGGUAAAUAUAUCUUGCUACUAACCAACUUAGCCUCUUCCAAUUUUGGUGGGUCGAGACUUUAUAUAUAUUGGUUUAUGAUCAUGCAUUUUGAUGACGGCUGUGACCGAAUAUAUAUAUUUUGUUUA